GUGGGGAAUCUUCCGCAAUGGACGAAAGUCUGACGGAGCGACGCCGCGUGAGUGAAGAAGGCCUUCGGGUCGUAAAGCUCUGUCAUCAGGGACGAACGGCCGGUGGAGUGGAAAGCCACCGGAUUGACGGUACCUGAGAAGGAAGCCACGGCUAACUACGUGCAAGCAGCCGCGGUAAUACGUAGGUGGCAAGCGUUGUCCGGACUUAUUGGGCGUAAAGCGCGCGCAGGUGGGAUCUUAAGUCCAUUUUGAAAGUUCGGAGCUCAACUCCGUGAUGGGAGGGAAACUGGGAUUCUUGAGUACCGGAGAGGAAAGCGGAAUUCCCCGUGUAGCGGUGAAAUGCGUAGAUAUGGGGAGGAACACCAGUGGCGAAGGCGGCUUUCUGGACGGUGUCUGACACUGAGGCGCGAAAGCUAGGGGAGCGAACGGGAUUAGAUACCCUUGUAGUCC
rnacentral:rRNA from 1 species